AUCUCUUCUAUAAUGUGGCCUUUAUUUUGCAAACUGAUGACAAUGUCAGCAAUUACAAAAACAAAACAAAUAAAAAAUAAGGGAAUUACCCCCAAGAAGACCUUUUGUGCUAACGCCAGUUUGGCAAAUCAAGUUCUGAUUUUGCAAUUAUUUUGCUCCAUAUGAAUUACACUACUCCAAGAAUUAUAAGCCUCUCUACAGCUUUAUCUCAAACUUAUGUAAAAUUAGAGAC
rnacentral:sRNA from 1 species